AUGUUUGGUAUGGAGGAUGAGCCUUCAAGUACUUUUAAUGAUUUGAGUACUUUAAUGUCUAAACUACUGGACUGUAGUGACACUAAUGAGUGAUGAGUGAUGGAGGAGUAAGAGGUUUAGGAGGAGACGUAUCAAGAUCAUGGAGAGAUGAAUCAGUUAAUGUUAGUUAGUAGAUAUAAUGAUGGAAGACUGAUGGUAAGGACUGAUGAUAAAUAUACACCUCAUUCAGUUACUGGAUCAUGGAGGGAGGACAAAUAAACACCAGAGAUAGAGUACAGACUCAGUAGGCCUAGUCUUGAUGCUAAUUUGUCAUAUGAGGAGAGGGCAGCAAUUAUACACAUGUAGAAAAGUAGAAAAGCUGAGAGGGAGAGGAGAAAGAAAGAGAAGCACUUUCUGUUUCUAAAAUAAUAAACACUCGUUAUUAUUAUUAUUGAUAUUAUUAUGAAAAACAAAGCAUAACUAAUAACAGAGAAAAACAAAGAAGGGAAAGGAGAGGGAAGGCCCUAUGGGAAAACUAAACAAAGCAAAAA